rnacentral:tRNA from 4 species
GGGGCGGCGUCGACGUUGGAGAGUCGGGCUCGGCUGUAAACCGAGUGCCACGCGCUGAGUGGGUUCGAAUCCCUCCCGCCCCACGA